rnacentral:lncRNA from 1 species
ACUGCCUUGAGAAACCCAUUGCGCUUUAUGGUCUGUUAUAGAUUCGUGGUUUGGAAAGAUAAUGAAAGUUUGAUAUUUUUUGAUGUACUUAAUGCAUGAAAUUAAAUGAUAAGAUCACCCAGUAUGAUUAGUAAGCAGGAUGCAAGACCAAGGGCUUGAAGCUAAUGCUGCUUUACCAUCAAACAUGGGUGGUUUUUGCCUUGUUUUUAUAGUUGAUUUUUGCUCUAAUACUAUGUGUAUGGCAAGUAGAAUGCUGGGUGAACAGAACAUUUGAGCACAUUUAAGUCAUCAAUAAGGGCUGUUUGGUGGCCUACCAGUCAUGCGGAACCACAAGCAUAUGCAUUGCAGAUUAUAUGCCUAAAAUAUAAAUUGGGAUAUAUUGCAUCUCUUUUGAUCACAGAGGGGGAGGAAUUUUAUUUUUCUUAUGUAUGCUCAUGUGUGUGACAUUUGGAUGAAAUGAAUAGCGGUUUCAAAAUGUUGCCUGAAAGUAGUUUUUGCUUACAUUAUAUGCACAUAAAAAUCUUCGCAAAUGCAUUUGAUAUUGAUACGAGUAUAGGUGUUUAUAUAAAAACACCUGCAGGUACAUGCAUCUUUUUUUCUUUUUUUUUUUGAAAAGAUUUGAUCAAUUUGUGUUUUACAGGGUGGGACUACUCAAGAACGAAAAUCAACAAAUCCCUUUGACCUCGCAUAUGACUCAGAGCCAGAAGCUAGCAAUAUGGUAUGUUAUUUCUAACAACACUAAUGAGAUUUUUUUUCCUAAAAGAAGAAAAAAGUGGGAUGCUAUUAUUAACUAUUCCCUCCCUUUCUUGGAGAUGGUUAGGAAUAAACAACUAGCGUGUGUUACAUAUGUCAGUGAUCAUCAAUCUAGGAACUAAUCACAAGAAACAUAAACACAAACCCCAAAAUUCCCUACGCUAUGUGAGUCUAGAUUUCCCUGAUCUUGCCUUGGCCUAUAAUUUUGACAAACAAACCUAUAACCAAUCUGAUGAGGGUUAAAUUUGAAUAUGAUAAUAACACUGCAGAACAGCAGUUCCUCUUUCCUCAGUUGUAUAUAGGUAAAGCCUUGAAGUAGAGAAGGAAGAAGUAAGAGGAAAAUAGGAUGAGAAAUAAGAGACAGAAAGUGAGAGGAAAAGAAGAGGAAGAAAGCAGCACAAAUUGAUCUCACUCCAGUUUGUGCAUGAGCAGUUUUAACCAGAGCUACUAAUAUCCCCUCAGAAAAAAGGGUUUCUAAUAAACACUACAUACUUCGAAUGAGUUACCGAAAUGCUCUUUCUCAAGAUGUGAUGUUAGGAGAAUACCUUCCCGUCUGUCAAGGCAAUGCAUAUGAAAGGUGAAUCUGUGGUCUUAGCUGCAGUUUCGUGUAAUUUCAUAUUGCACUUAUGUUUUAUAUAAGCCUCCUCUCUAAUUUUAUAUUCAAAACCCAAAAAUAACAUAUUAGUGUUUGUACAGAUUCUUAAUGAUCAUUCACUUCCGUUGUCAACUCAUAAGUUUUAUGUACAAAUACAGAAUUAAAAUGAUUUUAAAUGAUUGUGGAAUUGAGCGGCUGUUAGGAAAAUUUAGCACUAAUUUUAGAGCCUUUUAGGAAAGUAAUUUUAUUUCACCGCCAUCUUCUGUAGGUUUUUUUAAGUUUAUGUCUAAAUUAACUGUUAAACUGAGGAGAUGAAAAUAUAAUAAUGCUUAAGAGCUGACCUAGAUUGCUGAUACUUUACAUGGACUGGACUUCCGGAAAACAUGCUAACAGUGGGAAGAUCAUCACCGAUUCAAUUUUCCAGUUUUUCCUAAGUAGUUUUCCCAUUGCUGCCAGCAUAGAUGAGUUUAGGCAGGUUCAUAGGAUAGUGCCUUAUCAAAACAACUAUUUCUCAUUUGACUGCCAAACCUUUCAAUAUGACAAAUCUAGCCUCUGCCAUUUUCUCAGUUGAAAGCAUUUGUUUCAAGGCUGAGAUGAUGUUGGGUUGUCAAAGAUAUGUGGUUUCUCUCCCUUCAACACCCAUUAAGCAUUGUGUUAGGUAAAACUUUCUGAAAGGGCUUGAAACUUGGUUUGAGGCAGAUUCACUUAGUGUGAAAUAUAGUUAAGCAUUAUCAUGAAGAGAACACGAGUGGUAUGUUUAUUCGCUUUCAUACCUAUCAUUUAAAAGGAUGGCCGAUGGCCUCAACCAUGUUAUAAGCAUUCAUCCUCUGUAUAAUUGACACCUUACAGAAGAACUUCGGUUUAGGUCGACGAGCAUUGCCCAAUUGAAGGCUUAACACAGUUUCUCAUGACACAACUUCCAAGGCUUUAGAAGACAAUCAACCACAUGAUAUCAUUCUUGACACCUUUUUAUCCUUGACAUAACUCAUGUAGAAAAUUUUUGAGUCAUUUAGUUAUUGAAGAAGGGAUGUGAAUUUCCAAAUCUUGUCAUAUAACUACCUUCAAAAUCACAUGUUGUGAGGACAAAAAUCUUCCCUAAAGGAGUUUGCAACAUUGCAUUGACUUUGUACGUUUGCAAGGUUCUGGAGGAAGGUUGGACUUCAACCUGACCCAAGUGUUAUGCUCUAGACACACUCUUUUAACCAUCUGCAGACUCGCUUUUCCUGCAUGCAAGGAGUAGAACGAUGGUAGGCAAUUCUGGUGGUUCCAGCUCCAGUUUUGACCAAACAAAAGAAUCUUGAAAAUUAAAAAUUAGAAAAUAUGGAAAGUUCAGAAAUUAAACAUUAUCUCCAUGUCAAAUAUCAAGAAGUAUGUUCAUUCAGGACUUAUUGAAUCUCUCAAAUAUGUACUGCAUUAUGAAGCCUAGAUCGUAGACCUCUUGAUAUUGUUGAAAUAAGCACAAGUAUUUGUAUUUGUGCAGUUUGACACCAAAAACUGUGGAUAACAUGUUUCCUAAAAGAGCAGGCUGUGGCUUAUAAGUGGUCUAGGUAUAAUAAGAACUGCAAAUGCACAUGAAAGUUUUGAAAUUUUAAAUUUUGCAUGUGAAUUGAGGGAAACCAAUUUUACGCUGAAAAUUCAUCUUUUCUGUUUCCAAUUGAAUCAUAAUUUUAUUAAGAUACCUAUUGGUAUUGUGAAAAAGAAAAACUUGAUAUGAUGCAUGUCAGAAUAAUACACCCCCCCUCCCCACAAAAGCACACACACAUACACACACAAAUAAAAAAGAAGAGAAAGAGAAACUUAUCUUGCUAAAUCUUAAACUGAUCCUUAACUAUCGUGCCACUGCUCUUGAAUCACUCUGCCUGCAACAAUGCUUGGGGAAGGCCAAAACUGGUCAAGCACUUUGAUGCUUUUGUAUUGUAUCCUAGUUGUGAUUAAUGAUGAAGGCUAAAAAACCACCUAUUGUGAGCUGCGACAUGGUGCUCACUUUACUCAGGUAUUCUGUUUUAUGUUAUGACAUUGAUCAAGAGUAAGGAGAUGAAUCUUCAAUUGCUUAAUGGACUCUUAUGCACAAAGAGUUUAAAAAGAGAUUUGGCAGAAUCGUUUUAUCUUUAUGAAAGAUGAUUUUCACUGUGCUAGCACACGAAAUGCGGAUUUUAGGAGAGCAUGAGUCCAUUUCUGUCUUCUUCCAUAUAUUAAGGUCUCCGUGGUGAGUUGGAAAUGUCAACAUAAUGCUUAAUCUGCACCUCUUGUUGUUAACCUUCAGAAGUUCAUAUUUGCCUAACUUUUACAUUUCUACGCAUCAAAGGUUGCAUUCUUAUACUCAAGUGCUUCAGCAAAAAAUCUAGAGUGCUAUGGUGUGGAGAUGGGCAUCAGACAUGUCAUUUCAGUGAAAACUUUUUGCACGUGAAUCAUUUUAGUUGUGAGCAAAUAAAUAUUUAAUUAUUGAGUACUAAGGUUAUGUAAGCAAAAUUAGUGAAUGCAAGUUAUCUUGACUGCUUGGACGGUGAAGAACUCAAAAGUUGUAGAUUAUGUAAAUUUGUCUUAAGAGAGAUGGAUUCAUUUAGCUGUAACUGAAUAUCAUAGAUUAGAGUUCUGAAUCCACAUUCAUUUUUUCCCAGUGGUUCAUGAUAUUCCUUUGUUUAGUACAAUCUUUGGUAAAUUUGGUUUGAACUUGGAUGCAUGUUUUCUUUAUUCUUUAUUGAUACAAGUCGCUUCUUAUUUGGGAUAUUUCACAUAAAAUCAUUUCAAAUAUUAUAGAUCAUGGGUACUUCAAACUUUAUCCUUGCAUGUGUUAUAAAAUGGGAAACAAGGUUUAAUGGAGGCAAUGUUCCCUUUUUUGGCCUGGUAUAGAAGCGGUAGUUAUUCUUCAACUUUGAUGUUUAUUACUGAUACCUAAUGAGGGUUGUCUCUACUGCUUUAUGUGGAGCUUGGGUGCUUUAACAACGAUUUGUAUUCUUUUUUAAGUUAUAGAGUACAUACUUCUUUGAAGUGGAUCUCUCUUAUUCUGUACUCUGCUCAGAAUUGUUUCUUUUAUUAUUUGUUGCAGUUUUUGGACAUGAGCUCACUACAAGCAGCCUUGCCAGAUCAACAGUUGCCCAAUGCUUUCCUUGGAGGUUUGUCUCAAACAUGGUUCCCUCAGAAUUCAGUGCCAACAUAUGUUCCUUCUGUGUCUCAAGGUAAGUUCCUUAUGACUGAUAUUAUUACCAGCCGAAUCUCAUGAUGCUGUUAAUGUCCCUUGAUUUUUUGUCAAAAUCUAGGAGGGCUAGCAUUUAUGGCGGGACAUGUUCCAGGAUCACAGUUGCCGUAAGUUUCUUUGAUCGAUUGGUUUUUUCUGUUUUCUGAUGUUUGUGUGUACUAAAUUUAUGGUGAUAUCAUAGGAACAUUCCCGCACAAGGCUCCAUAUCAUCUCUCGGGGGGAAUCCCUUUGCAUAGGCAAGUGGGCGAUAUCAUUUACCAUGGGCAUUUUGAUGGUGGCAUUUGACUUUCCUCAUUUUCAGCAUUAUCAUUGGUUUAUUCAAAUCAGGUGCUUGAGAUAUUGUUCUUAUAUUCAUUAUGCAAUAGAAGUAUACCAGAUUGUGAGGUUGCAAUGAGUGAAUUUAGGAUAACUUGGAUAACUUGAUAUAGUUACUAUUUUUUUAUGUUUACAAACUGCAUUUUUUUUCCUGCUUGGAUGAACUUAGGUAAUGUAUGUCAACUUGAGAAGAUGGGGCUCAGAUAUAUGCAGCUUUAGCCUCUGAACAACUAAUAUAGCCUCAGUUCUAAGGCUGUGCCGGGACAGGUGGCUUGCAUAGUCUGGUUACAUGCUUUUUUGAUGGUUAAAACAGUUAUACUGGUUUUAUCCUAGGAAUUGCGUUCAGUUAGAUAAUAUCUUUUGCUUCAGAGCUUCAUUCAUUUAAGGCUAUGGCAUUAUGGGUUUAGAUUCAGUUCAUGGAGUGGUCUAUCUGCAUCUACCAUAUUUUCUGCUACUAGUUCAUGAUGACCUUAUCCUAAUUACUCACUAGUUGUAUGCUGUGUGCUCAUGUUGAAGUUUAAUCAAGAUACUAAUGCCGUCAUGGGACUCUGCUUUGUCUUGAGCAUUUGAAUGUGAUGCAAAAUGUUUUGCAGCUUGGUUUGAUGUUAUAUUUUCAGAGUUGCGAGAUUUGGUCACGGUACCUGCUUACGUUUUGGUAGGAAGUUGGGUAUUGUCAUGCUUUCUGUUUUCAUUUAAAAGCUAUAUAUGAAAUGAACGUGGUUGGUGGAUCAAGUUGUUUAUUUAUUUCUUAUAAUGUUGGGUUAUGAGCAUUUGCAGAAUUGAUGGUAUGAUGGCAUAUUAUGUCACUCAUGGACCCUCAUGACAUCUGAAAUACUGAAUUGGUCUGAAAUUGUAGAAAUCGCACCCACCGAUAGUUCGGAUAAGAUACCACUAAGAGCCUGCUUGGAUUUUCUUAGAGAUUGUUGAAUUCGUAGAUUGGGCUAUUCAUUGGUGAAUGGCUCUAUCAAUCAAAUCUCUUCCAGUGUGGGAAGAAGAAAAAAACUUGUGGUUCUGUUUUUGUAUUUUUGCGGCAGUCUAAUGACUGGGAUUUGGACUGGGGUGUGAAUAGGCCUGAUUCUGGUAGGAUUUUAAUCCCACUUUGUAGAAAUAUUUGACCAGACUUUUUUCGCUCUCUUGGUUUGGGGAACGUGCUGUUUUUUAGAAAUGACUAUAGAACAUGGGAAUGCUGAUCUUUCUAGCAGUAUUUUGGAAGUAGGAUAUUUGAUGGUGCAGUUGUGCAGGGAGUGGAUUAGUGUGUUCAUGCAUGGUACUGAUACGGUUGAGCCUGGAAUGCGGUUUGCUGUGAUUUGAUGUGGGUAAGUACGAUUUAGCAUGCCACUUUGUGGCAAAUAAUGUAUUUGCUGUCAACGAAUCAUGGUGGCAGAACAGAUAGUUGAUCUCUACGCCCGCAUAAAUGACUACUGGUUUUCAACAUUGCAUGCGAGAUUUUUACAUUUGAUCACAAUGAAAAUCCCUGUUGCUGUGGAAGUUUCGCCACGAUACGGAGUACCAAAAAUUACAGCAGAUAUUGGAAGUUCCUGAAAUAUAGGAAUUUUAAGAAAGUAUUCGUAGACUUGUACAAGUGUAAUGAGCAUACGAAACAACGGAUGACCACCUCCUUUGGGGCACUGCAAUUCCCCCUUUUUCUUUUUAAUUUACCAAAAAAAAAAAACACAAACCUUGGUUUUAGGGCAAAGAAAGUUGGGCAUUUUCUAAAAUACCUUCCCCCUCGUUCCUUGAUUCAUUGCAAAGCUACAAACUCCGCCUUCGGUACCGUGUUGCAUGGAUCGCACAGGUGCAUUCGGUAGAAGCCGUGUUGGGGGGUGGUGUGAAUGCAUUGGUGAUGCGCCAUGAUGGGAACAUCGAUGAGCACCUAUCUCUCUGGCUUCACCUAAACUCUGGAAUUUGCGGCAAUCAUACUCAGUAUGGUGGUGAUUGAACAUAUGCCUCGCUCGUUGGGGGCGUCCACGACCACGCUGGUGCAUGCGCUAAUUUUUCAUUUUGUUGGGCCUGUAUCUGUGAUCCUUGAAUUGUUUCCAAUCUGGAUCGAUCGGAGUCUCGACAUUAAAGCUCUCUGUUUUGAAGUCGAACCUCAGUAGCUUCCCAGGCAGCACCUCAACGUGUAGUUUAGUUUUCUCAGUGGAAGGACGGGGACUUGAUAGACAUGGAGGGAAGGACUAGCUUGAAGUACCAAGUGCGAAAGGGUUUAAAGGCAACCCUAGUGGUGUUGAUGCUGGUGAAGAGAGAGGGGAGAAAGAAGAAUAUGUUGAGUUUGGCGCUUCGGAAGCACACAAUAGAAGAGCUCAAGAUGGAAAAGCCCAAUGCGCGUGUGGCCCUAGUGUGUGCAGCCCUGUCAAGAUGUGCGGAUCACCAUGCAGUCUAUUGGGCAUUCUAGGAGAGGGGGUGUGUGGUCCGCGUGUGGUUUCACGUGGUCCACUGCAUGAUGCACGGAUUUUGUUGUGGUCCACGUUUCGAUGUGCACGAUCAGGCAGUCAUGGUGUGUGCUGGUGCGAUCGGAUGGCUAUGGAAGCAUGCAGGGGUGAUCAGAUGGAUAGAAUCCUAACAAGAGUCGGUUUUAGGGUUUUUUAAGGGUGACUGACGGCUUGUGGGUAGGGUGUAGCAGCUUAGAGUGUGAGCAGAGGUCCUAAAGCGACAGGGAGUUUUUUUUGGGAUUUUUUUUAGAGCUCUGUAAAGAUUUUUUAUGCUUCUUGUUGAGAGAGAAAUUGAUGUAUGGGGUUGAGAGGGUGUGAUCUCUUCUUGUGUUUACUCUUCUUUCAUAGUAAAGCUUGUAUGCCCUGUAGAGAUAAAUCUUGGGCUGAUCUAUGUAUUUGUUGUAUCUUUGUACAUCUCUCUUCUUCUUCCCUCUUAUGGUAUUUAUACUAGCAUUUGCGAUCUUGAGCGGGGAGAUCCGUAUUCCGCACUUGUGAGGGAUCCUUUCCAAUAAAUAGUAUCAGAGUACGUAGUUGUCUAGAUUAUGACGGUGUUAAUCGAGGUUGAAGAAGAUAGAAAAAAUAUAUUUAAUCAAAACAGAGAUCAACCAGUAUGAUAUAGCAAGCGAGGGUGAAGAAUGUGCUUAUCCAAUAAGGAUUGAUUGGUGCUUUCUUGUGUGGGAGAAGCAGACUAUCAUGGAGGAGAAAAGUUGGAAGCGAUUUUAAAUGCAGAUGGUGAGUAUGAUCCACUUGUACUUGAUGGAUGAUGUGGUGAUCCAUGUGCUUGGCGAGACUUCUCUGAUGGUGAUGUGGACGAAGCUUGAGGAGAUAUACAUGACGAAGUCACUCACUAACACGGUGAUCCAUGUGCUUGGCGAGACUUUUCCGAUGGUGAUGUGGAUGAAACUUGAGGAGAUGUACAUGAUGAAGUCAUUCACAUUCUCUUUCAUUGGAAGUAGUUCUACUAGCUACGAAUGAAUAAGGGGUAGAGCAUGCAGGAACAUCUCAGUAAUUCUCAGAAGAUCCUCAUUGAUCUCCUCAGUAUUGGUGAGAAAGUUGAGGAGAAGACUAGGACGUUGGUCUUAUUUUCCUCACUUCUCCCUUCUUUUGAGUUUUUGAUGAUUGCUCUUCUUGUGGAGAAGAGGACCAUCAAGAUAGAUGAGAUCACUUUUGCACUUCUCCAGAACGAGUUUCUCAAGUGAGAGAAUCGAGCUUUGAGUUUUGACGGUGAUUCGAUUUUGACGGUUAGUGAAGGUGGUGGUGGUAGAGGAUGAAGCGGUAGAGCAUCGUAAGGUGAGCAGUCUGGAUCCUAGUCAAGGGACUUCAGCAAGAUCAGAUGCUACCGGUAUGAUGAGUUGGGGUAUCAAGUCAGAGAUUGUUUAUAGCUUAGGGAUCAGAUGAAGGCUAUUGCGGUAGCAGUCCAAAGUAGCGAUACUAAAGAAUAUGAUGUUCUUCUGAUGUCUGAUGAGGUAUCUACUUCUGUCCCAUAGUAGACUUUAGAUUCUUCAUGUUCGCAUCAUGUUUGAUGCAGAGAGGAGAUGUUUGACUCCUUAGAGAUUAGUGAGGGCACUAUUCAUCUGUCGGAUGGAUCGAGUUAUGCGAUCAAGGGCAUUGGGAUUAUCAGCUUACAAACUUAUGAUGGAGUAGUGAAGAAAUUAGAUGAGGUCCGCUAUAUACCCAAUUUUAGGAGUAUUCUAAUUUCACUGAACAGACUGAAUUCAAGCAGUUACAAGUGAAAAGCUGACGAUGAAAUUUUGAAGAUUGUGUAUGGUAGUAGGAUUGUGUUGAAGAAAAAGAGGUAUGGAGGACAUUACCUCUGAACAGGAAGCACAGCGCGAGAUGGAGCUUCAAGAGCCGGUGGGAGCUCAGAAUGAGGUGGAGCUCCAGGUACAGAUGGAUUGGGCACGAGAUGAGAGGCUUGGAAGGAUGACGGAUGAUGUCGUAGGGUAAAAUUCCUAUUGCCAUAGAAGGCUAUCCCGAGCAGAUCUCAAGAAGAUAGAUCACAGCAUAUGACGGAGAUGGGAUCAAGCAGUUUGAUUCGAUUUUCAUAUUUACCCAUCCAUGAGCAGCUAGGCAUAUGCCUCAGGGCAUGAGGGCAAGAUCAUCUAGAAACUCUUAAAGUUAUGUGGAGACCGAAUGUUGAGUCGAGAUGGAGAUUAUUGGAUUUUGACACCUCCAAUUUGACCCAUAGCAAAGAAGCCCACAUUAGAGAAGUCUAAGAUGGAGAAGCAUAACGUGCGCAGGCCCGCAGACGCACGUGGCCCGUAAGCACGCCCAUAGGCGCGCACAACCCACAGGUGCAUGUGGCCCACAGUGUGCGGCCCAGCCAAUAUACGUGACCACUGCAUGGUCUAUCGCGUGGUCCAGGAGAGGGGGCGUGCGGUCCAUGCACGGAUGUGCACAAUCAGGCGGCCACGGGUGCAUGUGGGCACGAUCGGAUGGCUACAGACGCAUAUAAGGGUGAUUAGGCGGCUAGAAUCCUAACAAGAGUCGGUUAUAGAAUUUUUUAAGGGGGAUUGACGGCCUAUGGGCUGGGUGUAGCGGCUUAGAGCAUGAGCAAAGGGCCUAGAGCGGCAAAGAGUCUCCUUUGGGAUUUUUUUGAGAGAUCUGUAAGAAUUUUUUGUACUUCUUAUUAAGAGAGAGAUUGAUAUAUGGGGUUGAGAUGGUGUGAUCUCCUUUCGUAUUUGUUCUUUUUUUUAUAGUGAAGCGUGCAUACCCCGUAGAGAUAAAUUUUGAGCUAAUCCAUGAAUUUGAUUAUGUCUUUAUACAUCUUUCUUCUUUUUUUCUCCUAUGAUAUCAACACCCACAUUUGCGAUCUUGAGUGGGAGGAUCGAAUACUGUACUCGUGAGAAAUCUUUCUUAACAGAAUAGAUGUUAGCAGGUGGUGACAUGGUAUAGGAUGUAGUGGUCGAGUAGCGAGAAGGUGAUGUAGAAUAGGAGGCUGUGGCAGCUUUCAAGGGCGUCGACAUCUGGGUGGUCGGAGAUGGCAGCAAGAGGGAGGAGAGGAGGCCGUGGAUGCCAAAACCACAGGUGGCAAGGAAGUAGAGCUUGCAGGCUGCGGCAGUGCGAAGAACGAGGCAUGCAAAAUAUAAUGCUGGCAUUGUAGAGUCUAUUUCAAGUAUGCUGUCGAAGGUUUGCCGAGUUUGAGUUCCUGUGGUGUUGAGUAUUAGAGUCCAGAGACAACUUCUUCUAUAAAUAGUUACAUCUUAAAAUAUUUUAUUAUUUGAUUUAGAGAAAGGUUCAACUGUUAAUAUGCUCUUAUAUGGUAGUGUAAAUAGGGGUAAGCAAAAAACCGAUCAAAUCACAAACCCAAACCAAACCGGUUACUUUGUUUCAGUUUAAACUAGGUUUUCCUAUAGCCUCUUUAAUUUCGGUACAAAAGAUUUUCAAAUUGGACAAAUUGGUUUGGUUUCAACAUAGAUUUUUGAAAACCCUACUCAAAUCGAAAACUAUAUAUAUAGAUAAUUCAAUUUUUGACUAUUUGAUGUAGAGACUCAGGAUCUCUAAAUUAUAUGAUUUUUGGUGUACAAGCAGUUUGAGGUAAUAAAUUAUAUCCGAUAAUUUAAAUCAUCGAUAUAGGACUCUGAUUAUCCAAUUUUGAUCUAAACAGAUCCAAAUGCAAAUCCAGACCCCGAAUUAAAAAAAAAAAUCAAGAACGUGAAUAGCUGUUGCAUGCCUAUAGAAAUUGCUCUUGUAAGCAUGCAAAGCAUUCAAUCAGGCAAGUACUAAAAUAUAAUAUAAAAGAUAAUCUAUUCUUCGCAUAGGCGAUGAUGUUAUCAAAACAACUAACUAUUAUAUUUAAUAUUUUCAACUUUAACCUUUAUAAUUUUCUAUAUAAGUUUUUAUACCAGAUAUCACUAUACUUUAUUGACCCAGAAAACUAUCAGCUUUCUACAGAUUGGCCUCAUCUUUAUGUACAAAUCACAAAAAAUCAAUACUUGAUCUGAAAAUUAGGUUCCUGAGAUUGAAAAUAACAAGUGAAGAUUUAUGAGCUUCAUAGCUCAAUAAGUAACAAAUACAUUUAUAAAGCUAAUUUAACUCAUAUUAACAUAUAACUUAAGUGUAUCAUACAAUAUGUGAUAUCAAUUUGAUCAGUAUCAAAAUCAUGCAACUAAUGAUAUUCAACCAUAUUCAUAUGCCAAUUUUUCUAUAAUAUGAAAUCAAUAGAUAAUAUGAGAGUUUAUUAUAUACUCAAUUUCAUAAUACUAUAAUUAAACAUAGGUGCCUAAUUCUUUUAGCUCUACAGCUCCUAUUGCAGCACAUUCAUAUCCCUGCAGCUCAAGUGUCACCACAAUUAUCCCUAUCGCAAGGAUCUCAAGUCCACGAUUGCCUCUAUGGUGGGAUCUCAAGUCUAUGAUUUUUUCCAUAGUGGGGAUAUUAAGUACUCAAGUUUGGAUAUUGUUGUCAAGAAAGAUUAGCAACUCAAAAGGAGUGAAUUGAAUUCUUCAAAAACUUUUAACAAAUUUAAAAUCUAAAUAAUUAUAUGCUUCAAUUAAACUAAUUUGAGUGAUUGUGAAGUGUAUGCUAUGUGCAGUAGUGAAAUUGAGGUAUAAAAGGAGUAAUGCAAGAAUUGAAGACAAUACGAAGCAAGUAACUAAGUGCAACCCCACACCUAUAUCUACUCUAAGUUUUCUUAAAAAUUCUACUAUAAUCAGUCCGAUUACAAUACAAUUAUUUUAUCUAGAUGUACAAUCAAACUCAAUUAAUUUUUUGAGAUCACCAAUCAAACCUUUAUAUCGAUUAUUUUUUGGAUUCACAAUCAACUCAGUUGAUUUUAUGAGAUCAUCAACCUAAUCUUAUAAAUCUAAUUCCGGCUAUAAUGGGCCUUACCCAAGUUUUUUUCACUCCAAAGAAACUUGAAAAAAAAAAUCAAAAAGUACAAUAAGUGUUUCAGCACAAAUAAAAAAAAAACUCUUUUUAGCUCGGAGAAGAUACUGAUGAGUUGCUCAAUCGAGGUUCGAAUUUCUCUUCUUUAAUAUUUGAGAGGGUGUAGCUGAAGAUGGUGAAGAUCUCUCUUAAAUGCUUACUGAAUUCUUUGCACAAAUUUCCCUUCUUUUUCUCUUCCUAAAAAACAUUCAAUAAUAGCUCUCACAAAUGAUGUGUUUUACUCUUAAAUCCCCUUCUUGCUUUGACAAUGGGGGCUCACUGGAAAUCAUGCAUGAACUCUUAGACGAGCAAAAUAUUAUCGGUGAUAUAGCAGCCACUAACAAAAGUACCCUUUUUCAGACUGAUUAAGGCAUAAUCUACUUCAACCGUCCGAUCAAGUACACACUUUGCAGAGAAUGGUGCAAAAAUUGAUCGAUCUAAAGUGCCCCGGGGUAGAUGCAUUAAGUCUCUUUAGGAUGAGGAUGAUCAGCAUCUUCUUCUACUCCAAAAGAUUUUUGUACUUAAAGACUGACUGCACCAUCUCCACCACCUCUCUCUCGACAAUAGGCCAAUACUGAUAGAAAAAAGAGAGAGAAACCCAUCCGAUCCCAGGGCCUUGUCCUCUCCAAGAGACUAGAGGGCUCUGCGCACCUCUACAACAGACACUGGGGAGUUAGGGACUCAUUCUCCUGAUCAGAGACAUGGCUCAUGGGCUAGGACCCCUGAAAUGGGGCAAUCCAGUCAAAAGCACGGUCUAUCAUGAUAUGAAGAACCAGAGAUCUACCUCCUUUUCUCAUCACUGUCAUCCACCACUCUACCAUCACUUUUCCCCAGCUGCCUAGCGCAAUUGUCAUACCUUCAGAUCAUAGUAGACUAAUAAAAGAAUCUGAUGUUCCAGUCGCCCUCCUUGAUCCACUAUACCCUUGACUUUUGCCUCUAUAGCAUCUAUAGUCUCAACAAAGAGUGGUGUAUUGAGAGCUUAUGAUGAAGCUCUCUUAAGUUAGGCUCCUGGAGGUCCCCAUCUUGGUCCUUUCUCAUUUGCAACUUGGUAAUGUUCACCUUCGCCUCCUUAAUUUGCCUAAAGAUGUCACCAACCUUAAGAUGGUUCCAUUAAAGGAGCAUGCACCUCGCCAGCUCUAGCCUCUAGGUCACCCGAUACCUCACAUCCCUAUAGAUCAGCAUCCUCUACACCUUACUAAUCAGAUCCCACAGUCUCGGAUAGAAAGUUCAAAACUUCUCAAACCUAAAUGGAGCCUUGGGCAUGCAUGGAUCGUUAGUGGUGAUAAGAAUUGGAUAGUGAUUCGAUGCGAUCCUUAGGGGGUGCUGAACCUGAUGCCUUAGAAAAUACCAAAACCAAUCAAUGGUGGCUAGUGUUUGAUCAAUUCUCUCCCAAACCUUAGCUACCUCCUAUCGAUUGUUGCAUUAGGUGAAUUUGAGUCUAAAGUAACCAAAAUUGAUCAUGCCCACAUCACUGAUGAACUCUUUGAACUCUCUAGAAUCAAUACUAUCCACAUACUAUCUACUGUCCAUCUUCUCAUGGGACCUCAUAAUGUAGUUGAAGUCUCUAGUGAUAAGAGAAGGCAAUCCUACAACACCAUUUGAUGUAGCCUAGGGCCACAUUUAGGUGGAAAGGGAGGAAGAAGAAGCACGAAACAAAGAAAAAAUGGCAAAACAAAGAAGAAACUCUCUUCUCUAAAAUUUUAUUUCAAUAACUUGAAUAAAUUAAUUACAACAUCGGUUAGGGGGCAUUAUUUAUAGACUAAAAAUCUUGAUUUAACUAUAAAAAAGAAUUCAAAAUAAAAUAAAAUAAAGAAUAAAUCAAAAUCAGACUCCAUGUCAGACUAGGAUUCUUGUGCACUCCCGUUGACAUAUCAAAUAAUUGAAUUAGGCUCUAAAAUCCGUAGUGACGGUGAAGCUACAAACCUCGUUGAGCUCGAAAAGAUCUUUCUGGAAUGGAGACAUAAUAGCGAUUCUGAUACCAGAUGAGAAAGUUAUGGCUCUUCUAGCUUGGCAGUAUCGAAUCAACAAGAUCUAGUGUAGUCAACCAGAUUUUUGAUCCUUUUGGGUUUUGUCCCUCGCAUCUAGAUAUUGAUCUGUUAGGAUGUCUACGUCAUCCUUCCCAGGCUAGAAAGAACUCAUCCUCAAGUUAGAAGCCUCCUCAUCUGAUGAAUCAUUUGUAUAAGGAAUUAGAUGCUUCAUGUUGAAUACAUCAAAGAUUCAAAGAUGGCUGGGCAGCUUCAAUUGACAGGCAUUGUUGUUGAUUUUUUUGAUUAUCUCGAGGGGGCCUAUUUUGUGUUGACUUAAUUUAUUAUAUUCUCCAACUGAGUACUGAUCCUUGGUCAGAAUAGCCCAUAGAUAAUCGUCAACUGCAAAGGUGAGUUUCUUUCGAUGUUUGUCGGUGGCCACUUUAUACUUGGUAUUGCUAACCUUAAUUUAUUCUUUAUGGACCGAUGGAUAGUUUGGAUUUUCUUAGCAAAAUUUUUAGUCUUUUCGUUAGAUCUCCCUCUAGAAGUGAUUGGCAUCAAGUCCAAAAUACUACUUGAGUUUGACUCGUAAAUCACCUGAAAUAGACUGUAGCUUGUGGUUCGGUUCACUGAACGGUUGAAAGUGAAUUCAACCUGCACCAAGACCAAGUCCUACUACUUUGGACGAUCACCAGUAAGGCUUUUUAAUAGAUUUCUUAGGCUUCUGUUAACAGCUUCGAUCUGUCCAUCCGUUUGAGGAUGAUAGGCUGAGUUGAAUUGCAGGGAUGUAUGCAAUCUUUUUCACAAGCUCCUCCAAAAGUGACUCAUAAAUUUGGUAUCUCGAUCAAAUGCGAUUGUUCUAGGUACUCCAUAUAGGCACACAAUCUCCUUAAAGAAUAGCUGGACAAUAUUAGAAGCAUCCAAUGUUUUGCGACAGGCUAUGAAGUGCACCCUCUUUGAAAAUUGAUCCACCACCACGAGCACAGAGUCACAUCGCCUUUGCAUCACCAAAAGCCCUACUACAAAGUCCAUACUAACUUCCUCCCAAGGAUGAUUAGGAACAGGCAAAGGAGUAUAUAAUCCAGCAUUAGUCAUCGUACCUUUUGACAC